UUGUCGCCCUCACCCAGCUGCUGCGGCGGAGAGACGGAGGCCAGCGCGGGGAGCGGAAGCCGGAGCCUGUCGGGAGCGACCCCGGGAAGGCCAGUCCCUCCUGCCGGAGGGAGGCGUGUUGGCGUGCGGCCGGUGGCGGGAUCGAUGGCCACCUGGUAGGCGAUGCUGCUGCGGCGGAGAGACGGAGGCCAGCGCGGGGAGCGGAAGCCGGAGCCUGUCGGGAGCGACCCCGGGAAGGCCAGUCCCUCCUGCCGGAGGGAGGCGUGUUGGCGUGCGGCCGGUGGCGGGAUCGAUGGCCACCUGGUAGGCGAUGGUAAGCGGCAGUGGCCUGCGCCAAGGUAGCCCCCGGGGGGCGGUGUGUGGCGCCCGGACCCGCACCCUCUGCUCCCGGGGGUGGAGCUGACCUGCUUGCCCGCGGUUGGGCUCGGGAGCCUGCGGGCCGCGGCCAGGAGGGAGCUGGCUGGCCGUCCCGGCGGUGGGGGCUGUGGCGGUGGCCGUCCCGCGGGUGUGCCCGUGCUCGGAUCGAUGAUGACACCCACAAACGCAUUCCUUGGAAAAUCUGAACAAAAUGAGUGAGAACUCACUACCGUCUCCUCAUCGCAAACUGAGGUCCGGCACGUGGCUCCCACAGGGGACGUCGGGGGAGGGUCCCGUUGCCUUGGCUCCCUUGGCUGCUGCGGCGGAGAGACGGAGGCCAGCGCGGGGAGCGGAAGCCGGAGCCUGUCGGGAGCGACCCCGGGAAGGCCAGUCCCUCCUGCCGGAGGGAGGCGUGUUGGCGUGCGGCCGGUGGCGGGAUCGAUGGCCACCUGCUGCUGCGGCGGAGAGACGGAGGCCAGCGCGGGGAGCGGAAGCCGGAGCCUGUCGGGAGCGACCCCGGGAAGGCCAGUCCCUCCUGCCGGAGGGAGGCGUGUUGGCGUGCGGCCGGUGGCGGGAUCGAUGGCCACCUGGUAGGCGAUGGUAAGCGGCAGUGGCCUGCGCCAAGGUAGCCCCCGGGGGGCGGUGUGUGGCGCCCGGACCCGCACCCUCUGCUCCCGGGGGUGGAGCUGACCUGCUUGCCCGCGGUUGGGCUCGGGAGCCUGCGGGCCGCGGCCAGGAGGGAGCUGGCUGGCCGUCCCGGCGGUGGGGGCUGUGGCGGUGGCCGUCCCGCGGGUGUGCCCGUGCUCGGAUCGAUGAUGACACCCACAAACGCAUUCCUUGGAAAAUCUGAACAAAAUGAGUGAGAACUCACUACCGUCUCCUCAUCGCAAACUGAGGUCCGGCACGUGGCUCCCACAGGGGACGUCGGGGGAGGGUCCCGUUGCCUUGGCUCCCUUGGGUGCGUGCAGCCUGGGGCGCAGGUGGGGCAGGCAGGC
rnacentral:lncRNA from 1 species